rnacentral:rRNA from 1 species
UACGUAGGGUGCGAGCGUUAAUCGGAAUACUGGGCGUAAAGCGUGCGCAGGCGGUUUGUUAAGACAGAUGUGAAAUCCCCGGGCUUAACCUGGGAACUGCAUUUGUGACUGGCAAGCUAGAGUAUGGCAGAGGGGGUAGAAUUCCACGUGUAGCAGUGAAAUGCGUAGAGAGUGUGGAGGAAUACCGAUGGCGAAGGCAGCCCCCUGGGCCAAUACUGACGCUCAUGCACGAAAGCGUGGGGAGCAAACGAGGA